GCUUCCUUAGCUCAGCUGGUAGAGCGCAUCCAUGGUAAGGAUGAGGUCAGCGGUUCGAAUCCGCUAGGAAGCU
rnacentral:tRNA from 1 species